rnacentral:rRNA from 1 species
UGGGGAAUUUUGGACAAUGGGCGAAAGCCUGAUCCAGCAAUGCCGCGUGUGUGAAGAAGGCCUUCGGGUUGCAAAGCACUUUUGUCCGGAAAGAAAUCCUUGGCUCUAAUACAGUCGGGGGAUGACGGUACCGGAAGAAUAAGCACCGGCUAACUACGUGCCAGCAGCCGCGGUAAUACGUAGGGUGCAAGCGUUAAUCGGAAUUACUGGGCGUAAAGCGUGCGCAGGCGGUUUGCUAAGACCGAUGUGAAAUCCCCGGGCUCAACCUGGGAACUGCAUUGGUGACUGGCAGGCUAGAGUAUGGCAGAGGGGGGUAGAAUUCCACGUGUAGCAGUGAAAUGCGUAGAGAUGUGGAGGAAUACCGAUGGCGAAGGCAGCCCCCUGGGCCAAUACUGACGCUCAUGCACGAAAGCGUGGGGAGCAAACAGGAUUAGAUACCCUGGUAGUCCACGCCCUAAACGAUGUCAACUAGUUGUUGGGGAUUCAUUUCCUUAGUAACGUAGCUAACGCGUGAAGUUGACCGCCUGGGGAGUACGGUCGCAAGAUUAAAA